rnacentral:rRNA from 1 species
ACCGGCAAACGGGUGCGUAACACGUAUAUAACAUGCCCUAUACAGGAGGAUAGUCAUGAGAAAUCAGGAAUAAUACUCCAUGGUUAUCUUAGGAGGCAUCUUUUAAGAUAUAAAGAUUUAUCGGUAUAGGAUUGAUAUGCGCAUGAUUAGCUAGUUGGUAGGGUAAAGGCUUACCAAGGCGACGAUCAUUAGGGGUCCUGAGAGGGAGAGCCCCCACACUGGUACUGAGACACGGACCAGACUCCUACGGGGGGCAGCAGUGAGGAAUAUUGGACAAUGGAGGGAACUCUGAUCCAGCCAUGCCGCGUGCAGGAAUACGGCCUUAUGGGUUGUAAACUGCUUUUGUAUAGGAAGAAUAAGAUUCACGAGUUGGAUUGAUGACGGUACUAUACGAAUAAGAAUCGGCUAACUCCGUGCCAGCAGCCGCGGUAAUACGGAGGACUCAAGCGUUAUCCGGAUUCAUUGGGUUUAAAGGGUCUGUAGGCGGUUAGAUAAGUCAGUGGUGAAAUCCCGGGGCUCAACCUCGGAACUGCCAUUGAAACUGUUUAACUUGAGUAUAACAGAAGUUGGCGGAAUGUGUGGUGUAGCGGUGAAAUGCAUAGAGAUCACACAGAACACCGAUUGCGAAGGCAGCUGACUAUGUAUAUACUGACGUUGAGAGACGAAAGCGUGGGGAGCGAACAGGAUUAGAUACCCUGGUAGUCCACGCCGUAAACGAUGAUAACUAGUUGUUGGGUGAAAGUUCAGUAACUAAGCGAAAGCGAUAAGUUAUCCACCUGGGGAGUACGUUCGCAAGGAUGAAACUCAAAGGAAUUGACGGGGGCCCGCACAAGCGGUGGAGCAUGUGGUUUAAUUCGAUGAUACGCGAGGAACCUUACCAGGGCUUAAAUGUAGAGUGCUGUAUUUAGAGAUAGAUAUUUCUUCGGACGCUUUACAAGGUGCUGCAUGGUUGUCGUCAGCUCGUGCCGUGAGGUGUUAGGUUAAGUCCUGCAACGAGCGCAACCCCUAUCCUUAAUUGCUAACAGUUUGGCUGAGGACUUUAAGGAGACUGCCGGUGCAAGCCGAGAGGAGGGCGGGGAUGACGUCAAAUCAUCACGGCCCUUAUGUCCUGGGCUACACACGUGCUACAAUGGUGAGAACAGCGGGAAGCGACCUGGUGACAGGGAGCGAAACCAUGAAAACUCAUCUCAGUUCGGAUUGGAGUCUGCAACUCGACUCUAUGAAGCUGGAAUCGCUAGUAAUCGCAGAUCAGCCAUGCUGCGGUGAAUACGUUCCCGGGCCUUGUACACACCGCCCGUCAAGCCAUGGAAGCUGGGGGUGCUCUGAAGUCGGUGACCGAGAGGAGCUGCCUAGGGCUAAUCUAGUAACUGGGGCUAAGUCGUAACAAGGUAGCC